GGGCUCGUAGCUAAGUUGGCUAGAGCGCCGGCUAAACUAAAUCCUCCCCCUUGCCGAUGUGGGUUCGAAUCCCACCGAGGCUG
rnacentral:tRNA from 1 species